UACGUAGGGUGCAAGCGUUGUCCGGAAUUAUUGGGCGUAAAGAGCUCGUAGGCGGUCUGUCGCGUCGGCUGUGAAAUCCCGAGGCUCAACCUCGGGUCUGCAGUCGAUACGGGCAAACUAGAGUAUUGCAGGGGAGACUGGAAUUCCUGGUGUAGCGGUGAAAUGCGCAGAUAUCAGGAGGAACACCGGUGGCGAAGGUGGGUCUCUGGGCAAUAACUGACGCUGAGGAGCGAAAGCGUGGGGAGCGAACAGG
rnacentral:rRNA from 1 species